AACGCAUAUUGCGCUCUCUGGUAUUCCGGAGAGCAUGCUUGUUUGAGUAUCAGUAAACACCUCAACUCCCUUUUUUUCUUUUUUGAAAUGAGGGAGCUGGACUUGAGUGAUCCCAACACUUUUCUUCACUGAAAAGUGGCGGGUCACUUGAAAUGCAGGUGCAGCUGGACUUUUCUCUGAGCUAUAAGCAUAUCUAUUUAGUCUGCCUAAAAAACAGAUUAUUACCUUUGCUGCAGCUAACAUAAAGGAGAUGAGUUCUUGUGCUGACUGAUGCAGGAUUCACAAAGACAGCUUCGCGGCUGACUUUGUAAACUCGAUCUCAAAUCAAGUAAGACUACCCGCUGAACUUAA
rnacentral:misc_RNA from 1 species